rnacentral:rRNA from 1 species
GGUUUUAAGAACUAAUUUUAUGAUUGAUAGGGGCAGUUGGGGGCAUUUGUAUUUAACUGUCAGAGGUGAAAUUCUUAGAUUUGUUAAAGACACACUACUGCGAAAGCAUUUGCCAAAGAUGUUUUCAUUAAUCAAGAACGAAAGUUAGGGGAUCGAAGACGAUCAGAUACCGUCGUAGUCUUAACUAUAAACUAUGCCGACUAGAGAUUGGAGGUCGUCUUUAUGCACGACUCCUUCAGCACCUUACAAGAAAUC